GCGAGUGUAGUACAAUGGUAGAACGAAAGCUUCCCAAGCUUUAGACGAGGGUUCGAUUCCCUUCACUCGCACCA
rnacentral:tRNA from 1 species